AAGCAAUAAGUAAUCCACCUGGGGAGUACGAUCGCAAGAUUGAAACUCAAAGGAAUUGACGGGGGCCCGCACAAGCGGAGAAGCAUGUGGUUUAAUUCGAUGAUACGCGAGGAACCUUACCUGGGCUCGAACGUGAGAUGACUAUGGGUGAAAGCUCAUAUCUCUUCGGAGCAUUUUACGAGGUGCUGCAUGGUUGUCGUCAGCUCGUGCCGUGAGGUGUCGGGUUAAGUCCCAUAACGAGCGCAACCCCUACCUUUAGUUGCCAACAGGUCAUGCUGGGGACUCUAAAGGAACUGCCUACGCAAGUAGUGAGGAAGGCGGGGAUGACGUCAAAUCAGCNCGGCCCUUACGUCCAGGGCUACACACGUGCUACAAUGGCCGAUACAGAGGGCAGCUACCUGGUGACAGGAUGCAAAUCUCGAAAGUCGGUCUCA
rnacentral:rRNA from 1 species